rnacentral:rRNA from 1 species
AGCAGCCGCGGUAAUUCCAGCUCCAAUAGCGUAUAUUAAAGUUGUUGCAGCUAAAAAGCUCGUAGUUGAAUUUCGGGACCAAUAUGUCGGUCGUACUUUGUACGUACUAGCAUUAUUGGUUUCUCCCUUCUGAAGAACCGCGAUGUCAUUAAUUUGGUGUCGUGGGGAAUCAGGACUGUUACUUUGAAAAAUUAGAGUGUUUAAAGCAGGCUCGCGCUUGAAUACAUUAGCAUGGAAUAAUGAAAUAGGACGUUUGAUUCUAUUUUGUUGGUUUCUAGGAUCGACGUAAUGAUUAAUAGGGAUAGUUGGGGGCAUUAGUAUUCAAUUGUCAGAGGUGAAAUUCUUGGAUUUAUUGAAGACUAACUACUGCGAAAGCAUUUGCCAAGGAUGUUUUCAUUAAUCAAGAACGAAAGUUAGGGGAUCGAAGACGAUCAGAUACCGUCGUAGUCUUAACCAUAAACUAUGCCGACUAGGGAUCGGAUGAUGUUAAUUUUUAAUGUACUCAUUCGGCG